AAAUAAGAAGCAAUUUGCAUUUAAUUUCGAAUUAAAAGAUAGGGUUUAAAUUUACCUCUUAUUUA
rnacentral:tRNA from 1 species